AUUGAACGCUGGCGGCAGGCCUAACACAUGCAAGUCGAGCGAGCGGCGGACGGGUGAGUAAUGUAUGGGGAUCUGCCCGAUAGAGGGGGAUAACUACUGGAAACGGUGGCUAAUACCGCAUACUAUCGGAUGUGCCCAAGUGGGAUUAGGUAGUUGGUGGGGUAAAGGCUCACCUAGCCGACGAUCCCUAGCUGGUCUGAGAGGAUGACCAGCCACACUGGGACUGAGACACGGCCCAGACUCCUACGGGAGGCAGCAGUGGGGAAUAUUGCGCAAUGGGGGCAAGCCUGAUGCAGCCAUGCCGCGUGAAUGAAGAAGGCCUUCGGGUUGUAAAGUACUUUCGGUGGCGAGGCGUUACCUACAGAAGAAGCACCGGCUAACUCCGUGCCAGCAGCCGCGGUAAUAC
rnacentral:rRNA from 1 species